rnacentral:rRNA from 1 species
AUGAGGUGUCCAAGAGCGCGAGCUCUCUGGAAAGCAAUGGCGGAAGACUGGUGCAUCCCGGACGUGGAUCUAUGGCAGAACACUGGUCCAGAAUGGCUCCUUCACCUACUGAACAAGUGCGAGGAGCACGUCCGGCUUCCCAUGCUCAUGACAAUGUGGAGGUGCUGGCACGUCAGAAACGAAAUCACGCACCACAAGCCGGCUCCCCCAAUUGAAGUAUCCAAGAGAUUUUUAUCAAGCUACAUCGACACUAUCUUGUGCCUCCAGCAACAUCCCAAGGCCGACAUGUCAAAGGGCAAGAUGGUAGUCUCCAAGUUUCAGCAACGCCAGGAGAAGCUCAGACCAGCAAGGGCGGCCAGUACCAGACCUCCAGAGCGAUGGCACAAGCCUCCACCAGGCUGGACUAAGUUAAACGUUGAUGGUGCAUAUAUUCAGGCGGAUGGAACAGGUGGCUCGGGCAUGAUCUUGCGCGACGAACAUGGCGUCGUCAUUUUUGCUUCUUGCAGAUUCUUGAGGACGUGUUCAAGUGCACUGGAGGCGGAGAUCGAAGCUAUACGUGAAGGGAUUGCAUUGACUCUGGAGUGGUGUACGCUACCUUUCAUACUUGAAUCUGACUGCUCCACGGCGAUUGAUAUGAUCAAAAGUUCAUAUAUGAACAGAUCUCCAGCGGCGAUGACAGUGGGUGUAAUAAAAAACUUGUUAGUGGAGGGAGGUAGAGAGCAUGUGUUAAUGCAUGUGAGUAGAAACCAAAAUAAUGUCAGCCAUGUUCUUGGGUAG